rnacentral:rRNA from 12 species
CUAGUCCGAGUGCCUGAUAGCGUCUGAUCUCAAUAGCUAAGCAGGGCUGUGCCUGGUUAGUACUUGGCUGGAAGACCAACUUGGAAGACCAGAGGUGGCUAGC